rnacentral:rRNA from 1 species
GAUGAACGCUGGCGGCGUGCCUAAUACAUGCAAGUCGAGCGAACAGACGAGGAGCUUGCUCCUCUGACGUUAGCGGCGGACGGGUGAGUAACACGUGGAUAACCUACCUAUAAGACUGGGAUAACUUCGGGAAACCGGAGCUAAUACCGGAUAAUAUAUUGAACCGCAUGGUUCAAUAGUGAAAGACGGUUUUGCUGUCACUUAUAGAUGGAUCCGCGCCGCAUUAGCUAGUUGGUAAGGUAACGGCUUACCAAGGCGACGAUGCGUAGCCGACCUGAGAGGGUGAUCGGCCACACUGGAACUGAGACACGGUCCAGACUCCUACGGGAGGCAGCAGUAGGGAAUCUUCCGCAAUGGGCGAAGGCCUGACGGAGCAACGCCGCGUGAGUGAUGAAGGUCUUCGGAUCGUAAAACUCUGUUAUUAGGGAAGAACAAAUGUGUAAGUAACUAUGCACGUCUUGACGGUACCUAAUCAGAAAGCCACGGCUAACUGCGUG